rnacentral:rRNA from 1 species
GAUGAACGCUGGCGGCGUGCCUAAUACAUGCAAGUCGAGCGAACAGAUGAGGAGCUUGCUCCUCUGACGUUAGCGGCGGACGGGUGAGUAACACGUGGAUAACCUACCUAUAAGACUGGGAUAACUUCGGGAAACCGGAGCUAAUACCGGAUAAUAUAUUGAACCGCAUGGUUCAAUAGUGAAAGACGGUUUUGCUGUCACUUAUAGAUGGAUCCGCGCCGCAUUAGCUAGUUGGUAAGGUAACGGCUUACCAAGGCAACGAUGCGUAGCCGACCUGAGAGGGUGAUCGGCCACACUGGAACUGAGACACGGUCCAGACUCCUACGGGAGGCAGCAGUAGGGAAUCUUCCGCAAUGGGCGAAAGCUUGACGGAGCAACGCCGCGUGAGUGAUGAAGGUCUUCGGAUCGUAAAACUCUGUUAUUAGGGAAGAACAAAUAUGUAAGUAACUAUGCACGUCUUGACGGUACCUAAUCAGAAAGCCACGGCUAACUACGUG